rnacentral:rRNA from 1 species
UACGGAGGGAGCUAGCGUUGUUCGGAAUUACUGGGCGUAAAGCGCACGUAGACGGCUUUGUAAGUUAGAGGUGAAAGCCCGGGGCUCAACCCCGGAAUUGCCUUUAAGACUGCAUCGCUUGAAUCCGGGAGAGGUGAGUGGAAUUCCGAGUGUAGAGGUGAAAUUCGUAGAUAUUCGGAAGAACACCAGUGGCGAAGGCGGCUCACUGGACCGGUAUUGACGCUGAGGUGCGAAAGCGUGGGGAGCAAACAGG